CGUGUACACUUCUCAACCCCCUGGAGCAUACCCCGAUGCCACACUGCAGAGGCCCCCACCUCUCCACCAAUGCCCCCCACAGUUCACCUGGUCCUCACACAGGCCCUGCCCCACAGAGGCAGACACCCUUCCUGCCUGUAGAGGAUCAAGGCACCCAGUCAGUGCAGGCUGAAAAGUAGCUUGAGGGCUUGCUGUUAGGUGAGGCCAGUCCCUAGGGUGGGUUGCCUGCCCUGGCUGAACUGGAUUAAAUCUGUGCUCUAGUGGGCGUGGCAGACCCCUGGGGUAACAGGCCAAGGGAUGAACCUCAAUGGCCCCCACCUGGGUCUGUAUCAGCACGCCUGGACCAGCUCAGAACAAUGGCCCCCACCAAUGUCUCAGUCUCUGAAGAGGUCCCUCCUCUCACCAAGAUGCCCCCAGAUCCCACCAGAGCACAGAUCGACUCUCUUUAGAUCAUGGGAAAGCCAGUUUCAACUUUUUCAGUGUGAUCCUGAAGAUUAGCCCUGAGCUAAUCUGUGCCAAUCCUCUAUUCUUUUGUGUAUGGGACACCUCCACAGCAUGGCUGGUGAGUGGAGUAGGGCCUUGUUUCCGUUCUUGGCUUCUGUGAGAAAGAACAAGGUGAGAAUGGAGCUCCAAGGCAAAUGAAGCCGCCCCAGCCACCACGAGGGACUUUCAUGUUGCUAUGGACUCUAUUUCAGACAUUUGAAAUUUUGAGUCAUAGGAGAUGUGGCUGGAUCUUCCACCAGUCAAUUUGGCUUGAGUGGUAGGAGCAGGGCCUGCAGAACUCAUAGGAAGAGAAUUGGCCAAAAAUGUUAAAACAUAUAGGUCAUGAAGUUCUUAUUGAAUAUAAACUA
rnacentral:lncRNA from 1 species